GCAUCCCAGGCGGUCUGUACGAGCGGCUCAUGGGCGUUAAGAUUGAGCUGAGUUUGCGGCGCGCUUAGCGUUCAGUCCGUGCUGUCUGAACUCAUUGUAGUAGGCGAGAUAGACGGGAGGAUCGGUAGGGUGGGAGAUGCUGGAGAGGCUUCCGUGAGACUGGAUAAGAAAACAAAAAUCUGGUGAAAUUGGCGGCAAGGAGGGAGUUAAGGACAUUCCAGGCAGAGGCAAGCUAUUUGACAGACCAGGUGCUCUUUUGAACUUCGCCACUGCAUCACAACUAGACCCUGAACAGGAUGGAUUUCUGGACUUCUGAAAAGUAGGAGAAAUUUCUGAGGACCACCCUGGAAUAGGGGCUGACACUGGGAUUCCCCCAUUGAAGUAGGACCUUUGAAAGAGGCUGAAGUAGCACAAAGUCAGCAGACCCCAACUUCUGGCUCCUGCCUGAAGCAAGUCUAAAAGCUCUCUGAGGAAAUUAUAUUCAGUUUAGGCCCUGGAUUCCUACACAUUAAGAUGAAACAGUGAACUCCCAAAGAUCGCCAAACACACAAGGAGGUACAAGGAAUGAGAGUCAACAGAAGAAAUAGCAGAUGUAGACUGCUAAUGACUGAAGAUGCUGGAACUGUCAGACAAUAAUAUCAGUAAGCCCUAUAUUGAAUGUUUAAAGUGUGGAAUCAUAGUUAUGAGCAAGCAACAAGAGACUGUUAAGAAUGACCAAGUUGAUUUGAAAGAACCAAAUGGCACCACUCAUUAUGAUGCAGCUGAACAUAGAAUGAACUGGAAGAUAUAUCUUAAGAAAUUACUCAGAAUGUAGCACAGAGAAAUGAGAAAAUGGAAAAUAGAUGUAAAUUAAGAGAUAUGAUGGAUAGAAUGUCAAGCUCAAAUACACAUCAAAGUGAAGUCCCAGAAAGAGAGAACAGAGAAAACAGAGAAGUCAGAUUUGAAGAGGAAUGGCUGAGACAUUUUUAAAACUGAUAAAAGAAUCCAUGAUUCAAGAGGUAUAACAUAAUCUAAGCAAACAAAAAAGACAUUGACACCUAGACAAAUAAUGAAACUGCAGAAUAUCGGUGACAAAGACGUGAAAAGCAAUCAGAAAAGACAGUUUACCUACAAAGAAAUGACAAACGAGCUGAUUUUUUGAUAAUAGCCCAGUUGGUCCUUGCUGACUGAUCCAGCUUCCCUGUCAGCAUAUGGUGAGCAGUUCGGUGAGAGGACCACACUUCCAAUCCUGGCAGAAACCAAUUCCCACACCAGAUGGAAAAUGCUGACCACUGUCAUAGACCUCAAAGACUGAAACAAAAAAAUAGAUAAGGAAGUUCCAGAAAUUCCCUAGCUCUUAACUCAUUAUGGAUACCCCCUCACUCCUGCUUUAAAAACCCUUGCUUAUAAGCUAGCAGGGAGCUCAGGUGUUAAGUGCUAGGUACCCAUUCUUGCUUGGCACCCGGCAAUAAACACCUUUUUCUCACUACAAAUCCCAGCAUCAAUGUUUGGCUUUUUUGGCAUGCUGGGCGACCAGAACCAACCCCUUCUUUGUGUACUUGCAUCCAACUCUGAUGAGCCUAUGUGUGUCAAGUUGGUCGAGGCCCUUUGUGCUGAACACCAAAUCAACCUAAUUCAGGUUGAUGACAAGAAACUAGGGGAAUGAGUAGGCGGCCUCUGCAAAAUUGACAGAGAGGGAAAACCCUGUAAAGUGAUUGGCUGUAAUUCUGUAGUAGUUAAGGACUAUGGCAAGGAGUCACAGGCCAAGGAUGUCAUCAAAGAGUACUUCAAACGCAAGAAAUGAACAAAUCUUUGGCUCACAAACCCCACAAACUUUUGAAUGAAAUCUACUUAUAUGAUGUGACAUACAUUUCUUUCAGACAUGGAUUUUGAAAUCCUAUCAAUAAAAGCCACCAGGUGAGACUGACAAGUCUGGUUUUGAGCAUGUACCUGUUUUGUUUUCUGAUAUCUGCAAAUUAGGGUGACCCAGUGCAGGCUCCUGACAUUUUGACCAUGACAGGCUGUCUGAAGCUUGGGAGCUCGUUGUGCCCAUCCUCAGAGAUGUCCGUGUGUGACACAGCAGAGACUACCCCAGAGAUAACAGAUGAAAGCUAGCAGAGUACAAGGCAUAAAUGUGCAUGUCCUUCUGUUUCUUUUCUUUUCUUUUUUUUUUUUUAAGGGGCUGUGACUGAGCAGGCAGAUAGGGAAGGAAGAAUCAGAUGAGGAGCAAGUGCUGGGUAUUGGGGAAACAAUUUAAAUUUCGUACCACCCCAGAAUUUCCUCUCCAUAAAAUAUAGGAGAGAAAAAAUUUUAUUAUUGAAUACACAUGAAACUAGUUAUGUGUAUCUUUAGCAUUCUGCUAAGGAGAUUGCAAAGACAGACAUCCCACCCUUUUAUAUAAGCAAGCAAAUAGGACCCAUUCAUUGCAAACAUGUUCUCUAACUCAAGUAAGAGGACAUGACAGCACCAUUUGUCAAGCAUAAUUCCUCCUAAAUUCACCUGGUGAUUGGGGUGGCCAUUUGUGUUCGCUAAUUGCCUUUAUCAAAAGGAAAAAUAAAACUGAAGUCUCUAGGACAACAGGUAGUUUUACAACUUGGAGCCAGGUGCUUAAAUGAAACUACUACCCACUGCCCUCCCACUGACAGUGGGAGGUAGGGAGCUAUCUUCCUUGAUGUCUACAUUUUCAAAGAGAUGGCUUCCAGACCCUUGCAGGAAGAGUCCUAGUUUGUAAAAUCGACUGGAGCCUUUUACUUAGCUUUUUAAAAGAUUUAUAUACAUUUCAAAGGGGCAGCAAAAUAAUUUGCAAUUUUUCUAAAGGAAAUGCUCUAAGAAAAAGGAAGAAGCUCUUCCCCUUUUUGCAUGGGCUUGUGGGGUAACAUUCUGGAAUUCAUGAGGAGCAUGAAUUGGUUUCCUCCCUCCACGUGCUGGAGGGCACCGUGUAUGAAGCUUGGCAAGGCUCCAGUCAGGGGUGGACAAUCACUGGGAAUUCCACGCAUCAAAGGGACAAGGGACGAUCACUGGGUCCAUCCUAUACUUCAGAGGGACAAGACCCAAUGAAUGUAGAACUGGGCCACAGUUUCUCUUGGUUCUCAAAGCACGCUGGCCCACACAUGAUAGGUUAUCAUUAAAUGUCUGAUGAGUGAGUGAAUGAAUGUCAGGAGCCUGAGAGAUUUUAGAGGUUAUUUACCUCAGCUGAAAUUCAGGCAUCCCUUUCCCUGGACUCUCCUUAAAACCAGCAGUGCUGGCGAUCCCACCACUUGCCAAAGCAACCCAUUUUACUGGAUAACUAAUUAUUAAAACAUUUUUCAUAUCUCAAUAAGGAGAGAAAACAAAAUCUUUCAAGGGCAAGGUACGUUUUUCAAAACAAUCCCGAGAAGCAAGUAUCCCAUGUCACAGAGGAGGGAACUCAAAAACAGAGACUUUAACAGCCCAAGGUCACACAGCUAAAGGGAAAUCACAUGUAUCCAGUGUUCUGCAUCAGGCCCUCAUUUAAAUAAAGAUCCUUUCACUCACAAGAGUUUACCAUACAAAUAUUACAGCAUGUCUAGAUGGGGUCACCCCCUUUGUCUCCCAAGGAAUGGAGCUGCCAGAGAGUUCCAGCUGCCUCAGAUUCUCCCUGAUCUCUCAGGGAUGCUGAGUGUUUUCCCUCAAGCAGGGUUUUCACAGGCGAAUGCCGAAGGGAGGCUAAGUAUGGGGCCAAAAUGCCCACAGCACAUAGGUGUCAUUCCAGGCAGCACUGAGGGGGAGCAGAACCAGGGGAUGGCCCUUGGGGCCUUCCUUCGCAGGAACACCACUCACCACAGAGUUCCAGGCGGUCAGUGGGUCGUGUGAGUCAAGGGCAAGUGAGUGAAUGACACUGAUAUGCUUCAGGUAGGGAGAAGCCAUGGUGGGCAGCAUUGGAGGGAGGGGAAAGGGGGUGAGGAGGGGGUGGAGAUAGUAUUUGUCUACUUAUUCAUCUGAUGACUGUUUACCUACUGUGUGGCAGCUUUUCCAGUCCUUAGUCUGAGGAAAAACCCUAUGUGCUGAGCACUGGGUUCUAUUAGUUUUAUGAGUAUUACCCCAUUUAAUCCUCACUACAGACCCAGGAAGUAGAUGCUCAUGUUAUUCCCAUUUUACAAGUGAGCAGAUGCAGGGAGAGAAAGGCAAAAUAACUCACCCAGGACCACACAGUUUGUGAGUGGCAGCGCUGGGAUUCUGGCCAGCAGUCAUAGUCCACACUCAACCAGGGCCCUCUGCUGGGCAACUAGCGUGUGUGAUUUGUGGUCUACUUGGGGAGCCAGAGCCUGUUGGGGGGUCCUGGGAGGGCAUGGUCGGCUAUGGGACAGACCAUUCAACGAUGUUGUUUGAGGAGCCUUGUCAGGUCUUAACCAUACCAAAGCAUUGUAUUGCAUGCCUCCACCCGCCCUGGGACUAGGACCAGGUCACACACUGCACAGGAUUCCAGUGGAAACAACGAAUAGACCCCUGCACACCCAUGUGCAUCAAUGGAGGACUGUGGAUGCUGUGUGCCCCCGCUCCUCCCUCCCAACAGCUGCUUCCAGGCAUCUUCCAGCUGGGGAAAUGGCCAUUGCCCUCAGCCCACAGCAGACUUAGCCUACCCUUGAA